UACGAAGGGGGCUAGCGUUGCUCGGAAUCACUGGGCGUAAAGGGUGCGUAGGCGGGUCUUUAAGUCAGGGGUGAAAUCCUGGAGCUCAACUCCAGAACUGCCUUCGAUACUGGGAGUCUUGAGUCCGAGAGAGGUGAGUGGAACUGCGAGUGUAGAGGUGAAAUUCGUAGAUAUUCGCAAGAACACCAGUGGCGAAGGCGGCUCACUGGCUCGGUACUGACGCUGAGGUGCGAAAGCGUGGGGAGCAAACAGG
rnacentral:rRNA from 1 species